rnacentral:rRNA from 1 species
GAGUUUGAUCCUGGCUCAGAUUGAACGCUGGCGGCAGGCUUAACACAUGCAAGUCGAGCGGGGGAAGGUAGCUUGCUACUGGACCUAGCGGCGGACGGGUGAGUAAUGCUUAGGAAUCUGCCUAUUAGUGGGGGACAACAUCUCGAAAGGGAUGCUAAUACCGCAUACGUCCUACGGGAGAAAGCAGGGGAUCUUCGGACCUUGCGCUAAUAGAUGAGCCUAAGUCGGAUUAGCUAGUUGGUGGGGUAAAGGCCUACCAAGGCGACGAUCUGUAGCGGGUCUGAGAGGAUGAUCCGCCACACUGGGACUGAGACACGGCCCAGACUCCUACGGGAGGCAGCAGUGGGGAAUAUUGGACAAUGGGCGCAAGCCUGAUCCAGCCAUGCCGCGUGUGUGAAGAAGGCCUUAUGGUUGUAAAGCACUUUAAGCGAGGAGGAGGCUACUUUAGAUAAUACCUAGAGAUA